rnacentral:rRNA from 1 species
AUUGAACGCUGGCGGUAGGCUUAACACAUGCAAGUCGUGCGAGAAAGUAUCUUCGGAUAUGAGUAGAGCGGCGGACGAGUGAGUAACGCGUAGGAAUCUACCUAGUAGAAGGGGAUAGCCCGGGGAAACCCGGAUUAAUACCGUAUACCUCCUUCGGGAGAAAGAAGGCCUCUCUUUGAAGCUUUCGCUAUUAGAUGAGCCUGCGUAAGAUUAGCUUGUUGGUGAGGUAAAGGCUCACCAAGGCGACGAUCUUUAGCUGGUCUGAGAGGACGAUCAGCCACAUUGGGACUGAGACACGGCCCAGACUCCUACGGGAGGCAGCAGUGGGGAAUAUUGGACAAUGGGCGCAAGCCUGAUCCAGCCAUACCGCGUGUGUGAAGAAGGCCUUCGGGUUGUAAAGCACUUUAAGCAGGGAGAAAAAGUUAUAAGUUAAUACCUUAUAACCCUGAUGUUACCUGCAGAAUAAGCACCGGCUAAUUCCGUGCCAGCAGCCGCGGUAAUACGGAAGGUGCAAGCGUUAAUCGGAAUUACUGGGCGUAAAGCGCGCGUAGGUGGUUUGUUAAGUUGGAUGUGAAAGCCCUGGGCUCAACCUAGGAACUGCAUCCAAAACUAACUCACUAGAGUACGAUAGAGGGAGGUAGAAUUCAUAGUGUAGCGGUGGAAUGCGUAGAUAUUAUGAAGAAUACCAGUGGCGAAGGCGGCCUCCUGGAUCUGUACUGACACUGAGGUGCGAAAGCGUGGGUAGCGAACAGGAUUAGAUACCCUGGUAGUCCACGCCGUAAACGAUGACAACUAGCUGUUGGGAGACUAUGUCUUUCAGUGGCGCAGCUAACGCUUUAAGUUGUCCGCCUGGGGAGUACGGCCGCAAGGCUAAAACUCAAAUGAAUUGACGGGGACCCGCACAAGCGGUGGAGCAUGUGGUUUAAUUCGAUGCAACGCGAAAAACCUUACCUACUCUUGACAUACUUGGAGGCUCUUGUAAUGAGAGUGUGCCUUUUGGAACCAAGAUACAGGUGCUGCAUGGCUGUCGUCAGCUCGUGUCGUGAGAUGUUCCGUUAAGUCGGAUAACGAGCGCAACCCUUACCCUUAUUUGCCAGCGAUUCGGUCGGGAACUAUAAGGGGACUGCCGGUGAUAAACCGGAGGAAGGUGAGGACGACGUCAAGUCAUCAUGGCCCUUACGAGUAGGGCUACACACGUGCUACAAUGGGAGAUACAGACGGACGCUAAGCCGCGAGGUGGUGCUAAUCCUAAAAAGUCUUUCGUAGUCCGGAUUGGAGUCUGCAACUCGACUCCAUGAAGUCGGAAUCGCUAGUAAUCGCGGAUCAGCAUGCCGCGGUGAAUACGUUCUCGGGUCU